rnacentral:rRNA from 1 species
GACGAACGCUGGCGGCGUGCUUAACACAUGCAAGUCGAGCGGUAAGGCCCUUUCGGGGGUACACGAGCGGCGAACGGGUGAGUAACACGUGGGUGACCUGCCCUCAGCUCUGGGAUAAGCCUGGGAAACCGGGUCUAAUACCGGAUAUGACUCCAUGACGCAUGUUGUGGGGUGGAAAGCCUUGUGCGGCUGAGGAUGGGCCCGCGGCCUAUCAGCCUGUUGGUGGGGUGAUGGCCUACCAAGGCGACGACGGGUAGCCGGCCUGAGAGGGCGACCGGCCACACUGGGACUGAGACACGGCCCAGACUCCUACGGGAGGCAGCAGUGGGGAAUCUUGCGCAAUGGGCGAAAGCCUGACGCAGCGACGCCGCGUGAGGGAUGACGGCCU